rnacentral:rRNA from 1 species
AUGGCGACCGGCGCACGGGUGAGUAACACGUAUCCAACCUGCCGAUAACUCGGGGAUAGCCUUUCGAAAGAAAGAUUAAUACCCGAUGGUAUAAUCAGACCGCAUGGUCUUGUUAUUAGAGAAUUUCGGUUAUCGAUGGGGAUGCGUUCCAUUAGGCAGUUGGUGAGGUAACGGCUCACCAAACCUUCGAUGGAUAGGGGUUCUGAGAGGAAGGUCCCCCACAUUGGAACUGAGACACGGUCCAA